CACGCACUGCACGCAUUCACUCUGCCACAAGCUUCGUGUGAUGCCUGAGCCCUGCGCCGUGCUGCUGUGUGGACUGCUGCCCAGGAAGUCACUCCCAGGACACCUCCGGGGUAGCUGCUGGGCCUGGUCCUCCCCACAGCCUCCCUAAGAAGAUGCCACAUCUCCUGCAGCUCCUCCCCACUCUGCCCCCCAACCCUUGUCUCUCCUGGCAGGUCUGCCCAGACCCUCACCGGAAGGCUGGGCAGUUGUUGAUGUUGGCAAUGACGUUAGCCCUGUAAUUUCUCAGCUGUUUGCCUCUUUCCAGAAAUUCAUCGAAGGUGCGCUGGUAGCUGUGGAAACCAGAGGGGGCUCCUUUCAGGAUCUCCCCCUCUCCUGCUCCUGGCCUGGGACUCACCGCCUCAUUGGACAGGAACAUGGCCUCCAGUGUCUGGAUCUGCCUAGGGGACAGCAGGCUCCCGAGGCUGAUGCCCUGCAGAUCACCUGCCAGUUUGGGGCUUUUGAGGAUGUCGCUGAGGGCAGAGGAAAGCUGGCAUGAGGACAGCGAGCCCUGUGGCAGUGUCCCUCAGCAAGGGCCACACCCUCUGCUCCCCAGGGCUCCAGUGUCAAGCCAUGUCCACUGCUGUUCAGUUGGCUCCAGGCCUAAAACCCUGUAAUUGUUGAGCAUGCCCUUCUUUCCCCCACACUCCUGCUCUAAGAGUGGCCUGAGCUGGGCAGUGCACCUAGGAGCCUGAGGCAGGAGGAUGCCCGCCCGUCUGUGUCACAUGGGGAGGUCAAGGCCAGCCUGAAGUACACAAAGAAGCCCAACUCAGAAAUAAAUAGAUGAACAAUAAAAGAGAUCCCAAAA